rnacentral:rRNA from 1 species
CAAUUUAAACAACGAAGAGUUUGAUCCUGGCUCAGGAUGAACGCUAGCGACAGGCUUAACACAUGCAAGUCGAGGGGCAGCACAGGUAGCAAUACCCGCCGGCGACCGGCGCACGGGUGAGUAACGCGUAUGCAACUUACCUAUCAGAGGGGGAUAACCCGGCGAAAGUCGGACUAAUACCGCAUGAAGCAGGGACCCCGCAUGGGGAUAUUUGCUAAAGAUUCAUCGCUGAUAGAUAGGCAUGCGUUCCAUUAGGCAGUUGGCGGGGUAACGGCCCACCAAACCGACGAUGGAUAGGGGUUCUGAGAGGAAGGUCCCCCACAUUGGUACUGAGACACGGACCAAACUCCUACGGGAGGCAGCAGUGAGGAAUAUUGGUCAAUGGCCGAGAGGCUGAACCAGCCAAGUCGCGUGAGGGAUGAAGGUUCUAUGGAUCGUAAACCUCUUUUAUAAGGGAAUAAAGUGCGGGACGUGUCCCGUUUUGUAUGUACCUUAUGAAUAAGGAUCGGCUAACUCCGUGCCAGCAGCCGCGGUAAUACGGAGGAUCCGAGCGUUAUCCGGAUUUAUUGGGUUUAAAGGGUGCGUAGGCGGCCUUUUAAGUCAGCGGUGAAAGUCUGUGGCUCAACCAUAGAAUUGCCGUUGAAACUGGGGGGCUUGAGUAUGUUUGAGGCAGGCGGAAUGCGUGGUGUAGCGGUGAAAUGCAUAGAUAUCACGCAGAACCCCGAUUGCGAAGGCAGCCUGCCAAGCCAUGACUGACGCUGAUGCACGAAAGCGUGGGGAUCAAACAGGAUUAGAUACCCUGGUAGUCCACGCAGUAAACGAUGAUCACUAGCUGUUUGCGAUACACUGUAAGCGGCACAGCGAAAGCGUUAAGUGAUCCACCUGGGGAGUACGCCGGCAACGGUGAAACUCAAAGGAAUUGACGGGGGCCCGCACAAGCGGAGGAACAUGUGGUUUAAUUCGAUGAUACGCGAGGAACCUUACCCGGGUUUGAACGCAUUCGGACCGAGGUGGAAACACCUUUUCUAGCAAUAGCCGUUUGCGAGGUGCUGCAUGGUUGUCGUCAGCUCGUGCCGUGAGGUGUCGGCUUAAGUGCCAUAACGAGCGCAACCCUUGCCACUAGUUACUAACAGGUAAAGCUGAGGACUCUGGUGGGACUGCCAGCGUAAGCUGCGAGGAAGGCGGGGAUGACGUCAAAUCAGCACGGCCCUUACAUCCGGGGCGACACACGUGUUACAAUGGCGUGGACAAAGGGAAGCCACCUGGCGACAGGGAGCGAAUCCCCAAACCACGUCUCAGUUCGGAUCGGAGUCUGCAACCCGACUCCGUGAAGCUGGAUUCGCUAGUAAUCGCGCAUCAGCCAUGGCGCGGUGAAUACGUUCCCGGGCCUUGUACACACCGCCCGUCAAGCCAUGGGAGCCGGGGGUACCUGAAGUCCGUAACCGCGAGGAUCGGCCUAGGGUAAAACUGGUGACUGGGGCUAAGUCGUAACAAGGUAGCCGUACCGGAAGGUGCGGCUGGAACACCUCCUUUCU